AUGGAUUCCAUCAUGGCUAAUGGGACAUGGGAGAUCACUGAGCGUCCCUAUGGUUGCAAACCACUGGGAUGUAAGUGGGUGUUCAAAAAGAAGCUUAGGCCCGAUGGCUUUGUUGUUAAUGAAGCUGACAAAUGUGUACACUAUCGCCAUGGUGGGGGCAAAGGAGUCAUACUAUGCCUGUAUGUUGAUGACACACUGAUAUUCGGAACCAACCUCAAAGUCAUUGAGGAGGUUAAGUCGUUUCUAUCUCAGAACUUUGAGAUGAAGGACCUUGGUGUGGCUGAUGUUAUCUUGAACAUCAAGCUACUGAGAGAUAAUGAGGGUGGGAUCACACUUCUGCAAUCCCAUUAUGUUGAGAAGGUGUUGAGCCGUUUUGGAUAUUCAGACUGUACUAUGAACUACGGACUUCACUAUACCGGAUACCCGUCGGUACUUGAAGGGUAUAGUGAUGCGAAUUGGAUCUCUGAUGCUGAUGAGAUGAAGGACACAACUGGGUAUAUGUUUACUCUUGGAGGUGGCGCUAUUUCCUGGAAGUCUUGCAAGCAAACGAUCUUAACGAGAUCGACAGUGGAAGCAGAAUUAACAGCAUUAGACACAUCUGGUGUCGAAGCAGGAUGGCUUCGUGAUCUUUUGAUGGACUUGCCAUUGGUUGAUAAACUGGUUCCGGCUAUCCUUAUGAACUGUGACAAUCAGACUCUCAUCACCAAGGUAAAGAGUUCAAAGGACAACAUGAAG
rnacentral:rRNA from 1 species